rnacentral:lncRNA from 1 species
AUGGUAUCAUAUAUAAUUACAUAUAUAUAUAUAUAUAUAUAUAUAUAUAUAUAUAUAUGUAUGUAUGUAUUAUAUAUAUUAUAUAUUUACAUAUUUAUGCAUGUUUCAACAUUUCUAACAAAUUUAAAGAAAAAUAAAAGUGAGUUAGAAAGGAGUGAGGUAGACCAAUUUAGUCACCAAAUUGAGACGUGGUUAAAUUCACUGGAUGAAGAAGGAGAGCGGUUACAUAUAGAAAAAGAAAAAAUGAAGGAAACCUUUCAGAAUAUAGCUUUAGAAUUAAAAGAAGUAAAAAAAUCUAUUAAAAGGGCGGAAGAUUGUAUUAAUACAAAGGUUUAAAAUAAUAAACGCUAUAUUAUAAAUAUAGUUGUGUAUAUA